UACAGAGGGGGCAAGCGUUGUUCGGAAUUACUGGGCGUAAAGGGCGCGUAGGCGGCCGCCUAAGUCAGACGUGAAAUCCCUCGACUCAACCGGGGAACUGCGUCUGAUACUGGGUGGCUUGAAUUCGGGAGAGGGAUGCGGAAUUCCAGGUGUAGCGGUGAAAUGCGUAGAUAUCUGGAGGAACACCGGUGGCGAAGGCGGCAUCCUGGACCGAGAUUGACGCUGAGGCACGAAGGUCAGGGGAGCAAACGGG
rnacentral:rRNA from 1 species